rnacentral:lncRNA from 1 species
UCAAGAACAAAAUUUUAAAGGACUAGGAUCAGCUUGAAAAAAUCAGUUGAACCACAAAGAAUCACGCUAUGCAUUUCAUUCCCAAGAGAUGGAAAAUAUGUCUAAGUGGGGAGACACAGCUUAACUUAUAGGCUGGAAGGAGUGUGGGACACAGAAUUAAAAAUGACGGAUAAAAGCUCAGGAAGAGGUCUGUGGCAGACGUUUCCUUUGCCUCUGGGGCCGCAGCUAGACUACACUUCCCAGCCUCCAAUGCAGCCUCCAGAGCACAUCACGUAUUUUGGACGAUGAACUGUGGGCAGAAGUAAUAUACAGAGCCUCUAGGGCUGGCCCAGAAAACCUCCCAUUUUUCUCUCUUCAUCAGCUGGUUCAAUGCCAAGGAUCCAGGAGAGGACUCCAAAGCCCUCGGGCACGGUGGAGCCACUAGACAAAAGGAAUCACGUCCUGAAAGAACUACACGAAAUAGAGCUCCUGCCCCCAUUCAGACCCUGCCAGUCCACGUUGGGCUGUAACUUGAGCAACAAACCUUUGCUGUAUUAAGCCACUGAGAUUUGAGAAUAAUUCAUUACGGCAGUUAACCUACCCUGAUUCAUACACGAUUGUACCUAAGAAAUGGUUUAUUAAACCAGUCGUGUAGCCUAUUAGCUCAGGCACCUGUCUCAGACAAGCGCACAGGGCUACAUUACAUAGAAGAAUGUAAUAAUAACAAUGGCCGCUACAAUUCUAUAAAGUGCUUACUAUGUGCUAAGCACUGUGUUAAAUACAAGCCACUAACUGCAGCUUUACAUAUAUUGUUUUAGUAAAUCUUCACCCUAUGGGAUAGGCACUAUCAUUUUUUCAUUUUACAAAAAAUGGAGCAUCUAACUUAGUUUACGUAACGUGUUCAAACUCUAAUACAG